UGGGCGCGUAACUCAGUUGGUAGAGUGUUCGCUUUGCAUGCGAAAAGUCCAGCGUUCGAAUCGCUGCCCGUCCAC
rnacentral:tRNA from 1 species